rnacentral:rRNA from 1 species
UACGGAGGGGGCGAGCGUUGUCCGAAGUUACUGGGCUUAAAGGGUUUGUAGGCGGCCAUGUAAGUCACGGUGUGAAAUCCCUCGGCUCAACCGAGGAACGGCGCUUGAUACUGCAUGGCUUGAGGGAGACAGGGGUAAGCGGAACUGAUGGUGGAGCGGUGAAAUGACGUUGAUAUCAAUCAGGAACACCGGUGGCGAAAGCGGCUUACUGGGUCUCUUCUGACGCUGAGGAACGGAAAGCUAGGGUAGCGAACGGG